CGCAAACAGGUGAGUUCAACUCGCCUGGUUCCAAGUCUUCGAUCUUGGCUUCUCGGACCCGAACCCACUUAUGAAAACACGCCCGGUUGGCUGUAGUUCGGUUCGACGUGUCCGUCUGGGCGUGUUUGUUGCUCGGGUUUGUGUGUCUGUUCGGGACCACGUUGACCGGCCGCCGAGCCGCGAUGACCGACCACUCUCGCCGGGUGGUCCUGGCGGCGGCUCGCUUCGCCGUGGCCGAAUUCAACCGGGUUGACUCCGAGGAGCACUUUGUCUACAGCUUGGUUAAAAUAACGUCAGACAAACUUCAGUUCUCGGCGGGACAUGCCCCGCUGCAAGAUGAUUGGCUGCUGCAUCCGGGCAGGACUACAUGCAGCAUCCAGCCACGUUGCAGCUGGGUUUGUUCCACACGCAGAUAUGAAUAGGUGGCGUCGGGCUUGAAGUGUUUCCUGGUUAUGCAGUUGGGCCGUUAACUGGUCUGUGGGAACAAUGUCUCGGCACAACAAUGUGUGCGCACCUCACUCCAUAAAAGGCAAGUUUUCACCAUUUGCCUCGCCCGUGCACUCCCGUACAGUGCAGUGAGCCCUCACUCUUUGCAGGGGUGAGGGAGCAACACCUGCUGCCAAUUCCCCAAAUUUGCAAAUAAUGGUUAAAAACAAGUGUGCCCCUAUUAAUAGUUUCAACCAGGAGUGGGCGAACGUAUGUGCUCAAGGGCCACGUUUAAUAUUUCAAAUGGACAGAUGGGCCAGUUAAUUUCUUGUGUGUAUGUAAAUUGUGAUUAUUUUAUUGAAGUGAUAAUUUAGUCUUUUCAAUUGCAUUCUAGUUUAAUUAACCGGUUCUUAAAUAAAGUAAGAUUAAUUCUCAUUUAUAAUAUAUUUAUGAUUAUGAAAUAUGUAAUAAAAUGUUGAAUUUAUAUGCAAAAUUGUUUAUUUUUCUAGUGUAUUUGUAAUUAUGGUGUACCCCUGCAUAUUUACAUUUCAGCAUUUGCAAAUUCACCUAUUUGUUUUUUUUUGCAACCUAUCCCGUUUUUCCCCCCCAAAAAUAUUUAUUUGUGUUUUUAUAAAUCCG